rnacentral:rRNA from 1 species
GACGAACGCUGGCGGCGUGCUUAACACAUGCAAGUCGAACGGAAAGGCCCUGUUCUUGUGGGGUGCGCGAGUGCCGAACGGGUGAGUGACACGUGAGUAAACUGCCCUUUACUUUGGGAUAACAUCAGGAGACUGGGGCUAAUACCGGAUAUGAGCUCCUUCUACAUGGUUGGUGUUGUAAAGUUUCGGCGGUUGGGGAUGGACUCGCGGCUUAUCAGCGUGUUGGUGGGGUAGUGGCUUACCAAGGCUUUGACGGGUAGCCGGCCUGAGAGGGUGACAGGCCACAUUGGGCCUGGGGUACGGGCAAGACUCAUACGGGAGGCAGGAGUGGGAGAUAUUGCACACAGGGCGGAAGGAUGAUGCAAGAACGUCGCGUGCGGGAUGACGGCCUUCGGGUUGGAAACCGCUUUAGACUGUGACGAAGCGUGAGUGACGGUAAUGGGUAAAGAAGCAACGGCUAACUACGUG